GAUGAAGCGCAGCGAAAUGCGAUACGUAAUGUGAAUUGCAGAAUUCAGUGAAUCAUCGAGUCUUUGAACGCACAUUGCGCCCCCUGGUAUUCCGGGGGGCAUGCCUGUCCGAGCGUCAUUGCUGCCCUCAAGCACGGCUUGUGUGUUGGGCCUCCGUCCUCCUCCCGGGGGACGGGCCCGAAAGGCAGCGGCGGCACCGCGUCCGGUCCUCGAGCGUAUGGGGCUUCGUCACCCGCUCUUGUAGGCCCGGCCGGCGCUUGCCGACACAUCAAUCUUUUUUCCAGGUUGACCUCGGAUCAGGUAGGGAUACCCGCUGAACUUAAGCAUAUCAAUAAGCGGAGGA
rnacentral:misc_RNA from 1 species